AUCCAGCUGACGAGUCGUAAGUAGGACAAAACGCGAGUCCUGGAC
rnacentral:hammerhead_ribozyme from 1 species